rnacentral:lncRNA from 1 species
UCUGGUUUUGGUAUCAUGGUGAUGGUGGCCUCAUAGAAUGAGUUUGGGAGUGUCCCUUCUGUGAUUUUUUGAAAUAGUUUCAGAAGGAGAGAUGUUAGGUCUUCUCUAAAUGUUUGAUAGAACUCUCCUAUGAUGCCAUCUGAUCCUGAACUUUUGUUUGUUGCAAGUUUUUUAAUCACAGUUUCAACCUCAGUACUUGUGAUAGGUCCAUUCAUCUUUUCUAUUUCAUCUUGGUUUAGUCUUGGAAGAUUGUACUUUUCCAAGAAUUUGGCCAUUUCUUCUAGGUUGUCUGUUUUAUUGGUGUAUAGUUGCAUGUAGUAGUCUCUUAUGAUCCUUUUAUUUCUGUGAUGUCCAUUGUAACUUUUCCCUUUCAUUUCUAAUUUUAUUGAUUUGUGUCCUCUCUCUUUUUUUCUUGAUAAGUCUGGCCAAGGAUUUAUCAAUUUUGUUGAUCUUUUCAAAGAACCACUUUUCGUUUCAUUGAUCUUUUCUAUGGUUUUCUUUGUUUCUAUUUCAUUUAUUUCUGCUCUGAUCUUUAUGAUUCCUUUCCUUCUACUAACUUUAGGUCUUGUCUGUUCUUCUCUCUAGCUGAUUUAGAUGUAAGGUUAGGUUGUUUGAGCUUUUUCUUGUUUCCUGAGGUAGGCUUGUAUUGCUACAAACUUUCCUCUUAGAACUGCUUUUGCUGCAUCCCAUAGGUAUUAGAGUGUCGUAUCUUUGUUGUCAUAUACUUCUAGGUAUAUUUUAAUUUCCUCUUUGAUUUCUUCAGAGAUCUAUUGGUUGUUUAGUAGCAUGUUGUUUAGUCUCCACGUGUUUGUGUUUUUUGCAGAUUUUUUCUUGUUGUUGAUUUCCAGUCAUAUAGCGUUGUGGUCAGAAAAGAUGCUUGAUAUGAUUUCAAUUUCCUUAAAGUUACUGAGGCUUAAAUCAUGGUCCAGAAUGUGAUAAAUCUUAGAGAAGGUUCUGUGUGCCUUGGGAAGAAUGUGUGUUUUGGAUGGAAUGUCCUAUAAAUAUCUAUUAAGUCCAUCUGGUUUAAUGCUUCAUUCAGGGCCUGUGUUUCCUUGUUGAUUUUCUGCCUGGAUGAUCUGUCCAUUGCUGUAAGUGGGGUGUUAAAGUCUCCCACUAUAAUUGUGUUAUUGUCAAUUUGUCCUUUUAAGGUUGUUAGCAGUUGCCUUAUAUAUUGUGGUGAUCACAUGUUGGGGGCAUAGAUAUUUAAAAUUGUUAUAUCUUCUCUUUGGAUUGAUCCUUUGGUCAUUAUGUAAUGUCCUUCUUUAUCUCUUAAAGUAUUCUUUAUUUUAAGGUCUAUUUUGUCUGAUAUGAGUAUUGCUACUCCAGCUUUCUUUUGAUUCCCAUUUGCAUGAAAUAUUUUCUUCCAUCCUCUCACUUUCAAUUUGUAUGUGUCCUUAGAAGUGAAGUGGGUCUCUUGAAGACAGCAUAUAUAUAGAUCUUGUUUUUGUAUGCAUUCAGCCAGUCUAUGUCUUUUGGUUGGGGCAUUUAUUCCAUUCACAUUUAAGGUAAUUAUUGAUAUGUAUGUUCUUAUUGCCAUUUUAUUAAUUGCUUUGGAUUUGUUUUUGUUGCUCUUUUUUCUUCCCUUCUUCUCUUGUUCUCUCCUCUUCUGGUGUGAUGACUAUCUUUAGUGUUGUAUUUGAGUUGAUUUUUCUUAUUUGUUUGUGUAUCAGUUGUAGAUUUUUGGUUUGCCAUUACUCUGAAGUUUUGAUAUGAGAGUCUAUAUAUAUAUAUGAGAUUGUUUUAAGUUUGUGGUCUCUUAUUUGCAAGUGCAUCUCCAGUGUCCUGCAUUCGUACCCUCGUCUUAUCAUGAUUUCUGGUUUUGGUAGCAUAAUUGUGCAUAGGUUAUUUCAUUUCUUUGCUGUAUAUAUACCUUUACUGGUGAGCCUUGUCAUUUGUGGUAUUUUUGUUUCUGGUUGUGGCCUUUUCUUUUCCACCUAGAGAAGUUCCUCUCGUAUUUGUUGUAAAGCUGGUUUAGUGGUGUUGAAUUCUUUUAGCUUUUGCUUAUCUGUAAAGCUUUUGAUUUCUCCUUCAAAUCUGAAUGAGAGCCUUGCUGGGUAGAAUAAUCUUAGUUGGAGGUUUUUUCCUUUCAUCACAUUAAGUAUAUCAUGCCACUCCCUUCUGGCCUGCAGAGUUUCUGCUGAAAAAUCUGCUGAUAACCUUAUCAGGGUUCCCUUGUAUGUUAUUUGUUGCUUUUCCCUAGCUGCUGUCAAUAUUUUUUCUUUGUCUUUAAUUUUGUUCAGUUUGAUUAAUGUGUGUCUCAGGGUGUUCCUCCUUGGGUUUAUUUUAUAUGGUACUCGUUGUGCUUCCUGGAUUUGAGUGAGUGGUUCCUUUCCCAUGUUAGGGAAGUUUUUGUCUAUUAUCUCUUGGAAUAUUUUUUUCUGUCCCCUUUUCUCUCUCUUCUCCUUCUGGCACCCCAUUAAUAAUGGAUGUUGGUGCAUUUAAUGUUGUCCCAGAGUUCUCUGAGACUCUCUUCAAUGGUUUUCAAUCUUUUUUCUCUUUUCUGUUCCGCAUCUGUAAUUUCCACUAAUAUGUCCUCCACCUCGCUUACUUGUUGUUCUGCCUCCUGUGAUCUGCUGUUGGCUGCUUCUAAUGAAUUUUUUAUUUCAGUUAUUGUAUUUUGCAUCUCUUCUUGUUUAAGUUUUAUAUCUCGUAUCUCUUUGCUCAGUGUUUCCUGUAAGUUAUCCCUCUUUGCUGCCAGUUUAUUUCCAAAGUCUUGCAUCAUCUUCAGCAUCAACAGUCUAAAGUCUUUUUCCUGGAGGCUGAGAAUCUCCUGAUCACUUAGAUAUUUUUCUGGAUUUUUUUUCUUUCUCCUUCAUCUGAGUUAUAGUUCUGUCUUUUCAUUUUAAGUUUUUGGUGUGGUGACCUUUUUAUAGAUAAUAGAGUUGUAUCCUCUCUUACUUCUGGUGUCUGCCCCCCCUUGUGCUUCAGCUGGUAUGGGGGCUUGCUGUAGGCUUUUUGAUGGGAGGGACUGAUGCCCACCCACUAGUAUGUGGAGCUGAUUCUAAUUCCUCUGGUGGGUGGUGCUUUGUCUCUGGGUGAGAUUAGAGGCAGCUGUGUGCCUGGGGGUUCUUUAGGCAGCCUGUUUACUGAGGGGUGGGGCUGUGAUCCCACCUGGAUUGUUGUUUGCCCUGGGGCUUUUCAGUGCUGAUGGGUGGGGCCAGAUUUUCCCAAAAUGGCCACCUCCAGAGAAAG